UACGUAGGGUGCAAGCGUUAAUCGGAAUUACUGGGCGUAAAGCGUGCGCAGGCGGUUGUGCAAGACAGAUGUGAAAUCCCCGGGCUUAACCUGGGAAUUGCAUUUGUGACUGCACGGCUAGAGUGUGUCAGAGGGGGGUAGAAUUCCACGUGUAGCAGUGAAAUGCGUAGAUAUGUGGAGGAAUACCGAUGGCGAAGGCAGCCCCCCUGGGAUAACACUGACGCUCAUGCACGAAAAGCGUGGGGGAGCAAA
rnacentral:rRNA from 1 species